CAGACUUUUCCCCCUCCACCUAGACUUGUUAUUACACAACAUAAAGGCAGCAUAAAAUAUUUGCUCUCUGAUUCCACACAAAGAACUUCAGCUUUCUCAGGAAACGUAGAGCUCUUUGGAAGCCUGGUGUUCCACAAUGAAGAGCUUUCUGCCUUUCCUUGUUGCAGUGGGCACCAUGGUGACUCUGGCUGAUGCAGAGUGCUUUGUUGAACUUCAGGCUCCAGGGAGGCCCUACAGAGGCUGUAUGAUGAAUGGAAAACUGUAUCCCUUUGGAUACAUUGAGAGGACAGAAGAUUGCUACAAAUGCAGCUGCUGGGAAGGUGGAAUGCGAUGCUGUUCCCUGUAAGUUUGAACUCCUUGGUACCAUCAUUGCCUGUAGGAUGACCACAGGUGGGGAUAGAUGGAUUUGUAAGGGCACAGGAGAGCCGUUUCCCACCCAUGCCACAGAGCUAGUGAAAGCCACAUAGAGCUCUUGAUUGUUUGGAUCCUUAGCUGUGUUUGCCUUUCCUCAUUUUCUGCUGACUGGGGGUGGACACAAGCCUUUCCAGGCACAUCCAGAUGGUGCUUGCCUUUAAUCUUUAAGGAACUUGUGAACCCCUCUUUCACUGCAGUUGUCUUUCAUUAGCUGAGAAAGUGGGGGUAGGAGACUUAAGUGAUGUUUCCCUAAAGAGCUUAUGGUGAUCUGAAUCUCUUUCCUGAAUUGCUUUUCUCCUGUGAAUAUGCUAAAUGUAGAAUGACAGGGCUCUGCUCUGAAGUAUUUCUCCAGCAUUCUCCUUUCCACCUCCUGCUUCCUCAAAAGCCCAAAAUACCUCAAUGGUGAUCUUUGUCUUUAUUUAGGAGGCACAGUCUAUCAGGGAGCAGCCACCACAUCCUAUACAAACUGGAAAUAAUGAAAAAUUAAAGGAAAAAAAGAGAAAAUAUGCUAAGCCCAUGCUUAUGUCAAUGCAGAGUGCUGUGCUGGAAAUGCUUUUGCUAGUGCUGAGCAUCCUGGAACAGUGCAGUGCACAGGGCAUCAUUUGAGGCUCUGGCAGCUGCAGCUGUGUGCUGCUCAAGCUCGCUUAGCUGCCCUUAGCCAUAGUUUGGCCUCUGUCACUCAGGAGUAGUUCAAGCUGUAAUCACUGAAGUAUUGAACCUUUUAUUGUUCUCAAAACAUAUGUUUUCUAUUUGCCUCUGACAGCUUUCGUACUCCUGUUUCUUUUGACAAAAAGAAAUGUAAAGUUGUUUUCAACAAGAAGCGCUGUGAGUAUAAUGUGAUGGAUAGGGACCCCUCAAAUCCAUGUUCUUUCUUUUCUGCUGUGGGCUAACACCUGUAUUCAUGUUCUUAAUAUUAGUUGUUAAGAAUUUGUAUUUUAGGUGAUUUAUAGAUGUUUACUUAACUUUUAAAUUAAGUAGGAUUUCAUUCUACUAGUUUGCUUUGUUCAACCUGUAUUUAUUUAUUUUGAAAUUAGAGCCUUAUUACCUGUAAGGUCCCAAGAGUUUCUGUAGAAUCUGGGUGAUGAAGAUGACUUUCUUAGUGCAAGAAGAUUUUUUAUUUGCUGACAGAAUCAGUAAAUGUGUGAAUGAAUGACAAAAAGAAAGAAAUCUAACACAGGCUUUGAAUCUCAUGAGAAUAUAUUCUUUAUGGUUCUGGGACUGGGAAGAACCAGCGUAUUUGUGUGAUUAGCACAUCCUUCCAGAAGUUAUCUGUGGGUGGGGAAGCCCAUCUUCCUCUGCAAGGCCACCUCCUCUGCCACUUGUACUUGAAGCAGAAUCUGAACAACUCAGCACAAACAAGAUCUGACACUGGAGAAGAAAGAAAAUGAAUUCUGAUGGGUUUACCAGGCCAAGGAAAUGUUGAGACUUGUCUCGUAGGCUCCAGAGAAUAAACUAUGUUCACUGAGACCCAGAAAUUGCAUAUAAAUGUUUUAAAAAAGGUAUUUUUUUAGUCUCAAUGUGUAAUUGUACUGGUUUUUCUAUUACUAGAGUAGCUGCCAAUACUGACACUUCCUUUUUUCCCCCCUCUAAAUAAAAAAUAAUUUCGCAGUGAA